rnacentral:rRNA from 1 species
ACGUAUGUUCCAAGCGUUAUCCGGAUUUAUUGGGCGUAAAGCGAGCGCAGACGGUUAUUUAAGUCUGAAGUGAAAGCCCUCAGCUCAACUGAGGAAUUGCUUUGGAAACUGGAUGACUUGAGUGCAGUAGAGGAAAGUGGAACUCCAUGUGUAGCGGUGAAAUGCGUAGAUAUAUGGAAGAACACCAGUGGCGAAGGCGGCUUUCUGGACUGUAACUGACGUUGAGGCUCGAAAGUGUGGGUAGCAAACAGGAUUAGAUACCCUGGUAGUCCACACCGUAAACGAUGAGUGCUAGGUGUUUGAGGGUUUCCGCCCUUAAGUGCCGCAGCUAACGCAUUAAGCACUCCGCCUGGGGAGUACGACCGCAAGGUUG